GGGGAUCGAAAGACCUUAUGCUUUUGGAGCGGCCCAUGUCUGAUUAGCUAGUUGGUAAGGUAAUGGCUUACCAAGGCAACRAUCAGUAGUUGGUCUGAGAGGACGRCCAGCCACACUGGGGGGGAUCGAAAGACCUUAUGCUUUUGGAGCGGCCGAUGUCUGAUUAGCUAGUUGGUAAGGUAAUGGCUUACCAAGGCRACGAUCAGUAGUUGGUCUGAGAGGACGRCCAGCCACACUGGGACUGAGACACGGCCCAGACUCCUACGGGAGGCAGCAGUGGGGAAUUUUGGACAAUGGGCGCAAGCCUGAUCCAGCAAUGCCGCGUGAGUGAAGAAGGCCUUCGGGUUGUAAAGCUCUUUCAGUCGAGAAGAAAAGGUUGUGACUAAUAAUH
rnacentral:rRNA from 1 species